UGGCCUUAAACUAAUGAGUAAGGAAAAUAACGAUCUGGGUGACGCCAGAUCCAGCGCUUUGAACGCUAUCAAUUUUUGACGGGUGGCAGGCUGCCCCAAGGUUGACCCGCCUACUUCCGCGGGACUCCUUGGUUGUAAGCGGCCUCCGCCC